CGAACGCUGGCGGCGUGCUUAACACAUGCAAGUCGAACGAUGAAGUGGAGCUUGCUCCACGGAUUAGUGGCGAACGGGUGAGGAACACGUGAGAAACCUGCCUCGGAUUUUGGGAUAACAAAUGGAAACGUUUGCUAAUACCAAAUAACGUCGGAGAGUCACAUGACUUUCUGACGAAAGGAAUUCCGAUUCGAGAGGGUCUCGCGGCCUAUCAGCUUGUUGGCGGGGUAAUGGCCCACCAAGGCAACGACGGGUAGCUGGUCUGAGAGGAUGGUCAGCCACACUGGGACUGAGACACGGCCCAGACUCCUACGGGAGGCAGCAGUGGGGAAUCUUGCGCAAUGGGCGAAAGCCUGACGCAGCAACGCCGCGUGCGGGAAGAAGGCUUUCGGGCUGUAAACCGCUUUCAGCAGGAACGAAAAUGACGGUACCUGCAGAAGAAGGAGCGGCCAACUAUGCGCCAGCAGCCGCGGUAAUCUGAUGGCG
rnacentral:rRNA from 1 species